UGUUUUUUGUGUGUAACUAUUGUUAGAAAUUUCAUGAAAUUAAAGAUAUGUGUGUAUUGUUUUACUGUAAAAGUGCUCUUAAGUUGUGUUGGAAUUAAUUCUUUUAUUUGACUUAAAAUUGUGGGAUUGUGUCUUUCUGAAUCUGCUGUAUAGAAUCCUAUUGUGUAACUUAAUAUUAUGGAUGUCACAUUUGCAUUAUUGUAGUGGUUUUCUAACACGUUUCUUUGGGAUGAGUUGAUGAGACAUCAAUAGAAAUGUCAGCAAGCGGCUCUUUCCAGUUCUAUAAGAGAAGUUCAUCAUUGGCCAGUCUUCCAAGGAAGUGUCCAAGCCAAAGCAUGCCUUGAAGGUUCACAUGUGGGGAGGCAUCAGUUAUCAGGGACCAACACGCUGUUGUGUUUUCACUGGCAUAAUGGACUCCGUUUCAUACCAGCAAAUCUUGAAAUCAAGUCUCUUGCCACUGCCAACAGAAAAUAUCCAAAUGGAUUUCGACUUUAUCAGGAUAAUGACGCCAAACACACCAGUCGAUCAACUAUGCAGUGGUUGAAUGAUCAAAUAGUGAAGACCAUGCCUGCACCAGCAUCGAGUCCGGACCUGAAUCCUAUAGAGAAUGUUUGGGCAACAUUGAAGGAUUAUUUAAAGCGACAAGUGAAGCCUAGAACAAAGGCUCAACUUGUCCAUGGAAUAACAGCGAACAACCUAACAGCGGAAGACUGUGCAAAAUACAUAGACCAUAUUCACAGAAUCUUACCACAUGUUGUUCUAAAUGACGGUGGACCAUCAGGAUUUUUGUGAGGUGGAUCAUUAAAAAAUCAAGGACUCCAACAAAAUGCAUAUACAGUGUAUAUGUGACCAAUGUUGUACUGAAUAGUUUACUGACAUUUAGGUUAGCUUUAAUAUAUCCUUGUAAAUAUUGAAACUUGUUAUUUCUACCAGAGUUUGUCUGUCAGGGAAGACUGUUUUGAGAAUGAUGAAACUUAAAGAAUGAUUAAUUAAAUUAAUUUAACUAUUGACUUAGAUUUGAUCUACAUUUUAUUGGAAAGAACGAACGCCAGACUUAAACUAGCGUGUAAAAGAUUAAAAAAAUAACAAAUAUUCAGGUAUUUUUUUGCUUUUGCAAAAUA